GACGAACGCUGGCGGCGUGCUUAACACAUGCAAGUCGAACGGUGAAGGGAUCAGCUUGCUGGUUCUGGAUGAGUGGCGAACGGGUGAGUAACACGUGAGUAACCUGCCCCCUUCUUCUGGAUAACCGCAUGAAAGUGUGGCUAAUACGGGAUAUUCUGGGUCUGUCGCAUGGCGGGCCUGGGAAAGAUGCGCCUUUGGGUGUUUUUGGUGGGGGAUGGGCUCGCGGCCUAUCAGCUUGUUGGUGGGGUGAUGGCCUACCAAGGCGGUGACGGGUAGCCGGCCUGAGAGGGUGGACGGUCACACUGGGACUGAGACACGGCCCAGACUCCUACGGGAGGCAGCAGUGGGGAAUAUUGCACAAUGGGCGCAAGCCUGAUGCAGCGACGCCGCGUGAGGGAUGGAGGCCUUCGGGUUGUAAACCUCUUUCGCCAGUGAAGCAGGCCUGCUCCUUGUGGGUGGG
rnacentral:rRNA from 1 species